ACUUAUGGAUGAUCAAAGAAGUGGUUUCUUGAUAUGGAAACUGCUUGUGGUGAAGAUGCUGUGAA
rnacentral:pre_miRNA from 1 species